CCUACGGGAGGCAGCAGUGAGGAAUAUUGGUCAAUGGACGCGAGCCUGAACCAGCCAAGUAGCGUGAAGGAUGACGGCCCUACGGGUGGUAAACUUCUUUUAUAAAGGAAUAAAGUGAGGCAAGUGGGCCGUUUUGUAUGGACUUUAUGAAUAAGGAUCGGCUAACUCCGUGCCAGCAGCCGCGGUAAUACGGAGGAUCCGAGCGUUAUCCGGAUUGAUUGGGGUUACAGGGAGCGUAGUGGGGUUGUUAAGGCAGUUGUGAAAGUUUGCGGCUCAACCGGAAAAUGGCAUUUGAUACUGGCAGUCUUGCGUACAGUUGCGGUAGGCGGAAUUC
rnacentral:rRNA from 1 species